GACAGAGGGGCCAAGCGUUAGGCGGAAUCACUGGGCUUAAAGCGUGUGUAGGUGGAUCGUUAAGUACCUUGUGAAAUCCCACGGCUUAACCGUGGAACUGCUCGGUAUACUGGCGGUCUUGAGCCAACUAGGGGCUAUCGGAACAAGUGGUGGAGCGGUGAAAUGCGUAGAUAUCUGGAGGAACACCGGUGGCGAAGGCGGCAUCCUGGACCGGCAUUGACGCUGAGGAGCGAAAGCCAGGGGAGCAAACGGG
rnacentral:rRNA from 1 species